GUGUGCGUGGGGGGCGGCCAAACUUCCUGUCCCGCGCUCGAGCUGCUUCCGGCAGGAGCCGGAAGACGCUGUGUGUGGACGGAAUUUGGGACCGAUUGACCCACGGGCGGCUGCAGGGGACGUAAGGCUAAAUUGAUUACCUACCCAGCACAGCAUCUUACAGGAAAAGCAUAGCAUUUCCUAGAGGAAUAUGAGCAUAAACAGGAAGGUGUCAUUGACUUUGAAUUAAAAAUUUAACUUGUUGCCUGAACAGCUACAGGAUUUGGAAGCUGAAUCAAUGUUAUCAGAUGAGUUAGAAUCCAAACCAGAGCUCCUGGUACAGUUUGUUCAGAAUACAUCCAUCCCAUUGGGACAGGGGCUAGUAGAAUCAGAAGCUAAAGACAUUACUUGCUUGUCCCUCCUUCCAGUGACUGAGGCCUCAGAAUGCAGUCGGCUAAUGUUACCAGAUGAUACUCCAAAUCAUACUAAUUCCUCCAAGGAGGUCCCUCCUUCAGCUGUGUUAAGAAGCCUUCAGGUGAAUGUGGGCCCAGACGGAGAGGAGACAAGGGCUCAGACUGUACAGAAGUCCCCGGAGUUUUUGUCCACUCCAGAGUCUCCUAGCCUGUUGCAAGAUCUACAGCCAAGUGAUAGCACUUCUUUUAUUCUUCUUAACUUAACAAGAGCAGGUCUGAGCUCUUCAGCUGAGCACUUAGUAUUUGUACAAGAUGAGGCAGAGGAUUCAGGAAAUGAUUUCCUCUCCAGUGAGAGCACGGACAGUAGCAUCCCAUGGUUCCUCCGGGUUCAGGAGUUGGCCCAUGACAGUUUGAUCGCUGCUACUCGUGCACAGCUGGCAAAGAAUGCAAAAACCAGCAGCAAUGGAGAAAACGUCCACCUUGGUUCUGGUGAUGGGCAACCCAAAGAAUCGGGGCCCCUUCCUCAAGCGGAAAAGAAGCUCAAGUGUACAGUUGAAGGCUGUGACCGGACAUUUGUGUGGCCAGCUCACUUUAAGUACCACCUCAAAACUCAUCGAAAUGACCGCUCCUUCAUCUGCCCUGCAGAAGGCUGUGGGAAAAGUUUCUAUGUGCUGCAGAGGCUGAAGGUGCACAUGAGGACCCACAAUGGAGAGAAGCCCUUUAUGUGCCCUGAGUCUAGCUGUGGUAAGCAGUUCACUACAGCCGGGAACCUGAAGAACCACCUGAGGAUCCACACAGGAGAGAAGCCUUUCCUUUGUGAAGCCCAAGGAUGUGGCCGUUCCUUUGCUGAGUAUUCUAGCCUCCGAAAACAUUUGGUGGUUCACUCAGGAGAGAAGCCUCAUCAGUGUCAAGUCUGUGGGAAGACCUUCUCUCAAAGUGGGAGCAGGAAUGUGCACAUGAGAAAGCAUCACUUGCAGAUGGGAACAGCUGGGAGUCAAGAGCAGGAGCAAACUGCUGAGCCACUAAUGGGCAGUGGUUUGCUUGAAGAGGCGUCAGUACCCAGUAAAAACCUGGUGUCUGUGAAUCCCCAGCCCAGCCUUGGUGGAGAGUCCUUGAACCUACCAAGUACCAAUUCUAUCCUAGGAGUUGAUGAUGAGGUGCUUGCUGAAGGAUCCCCACGUACCCUGUCUUCAGUGCCUGAUGUGACACAUCACUUGGUGACCAUGCAGUCAGGGAGGCAGUCAUAUGAGGUUUCUGUCUUAACUGCCGUAAAUCCACAGGAGAUGCAAAACUUUGAUAGUGAAGAAGGCUGAUAGGAAAAAAAUGGAUUCAUUUGAAAUGUGGUGAUGGAGAGCUCUUAUGAACACCCUGGACCCCCAGAAAGAUGAACAAUUACUAAACCAAGGAGAUUUAACUGAAAGACGGACAUGAGCAUGGAUAUUGAAUCCUGAAGAGCACUCACUCUAUCUGAUCCCAGGAAGCAUAUAGUGGGAACAGCUUGCUUAUGGCUCACAAUCUGCCAGAAUCAAAAUGAAUCUGUGAAUGACAAGACCCCGCUUUUUCCUCUGUGCAUCUUCCCUGGCAAAGAAGAUGAAUGCAAGAGAGCUUCUCUUCAGACUCUCAUCUGAUCCAGAAAAGGAAGAAAGCAGGGAAUGUGGGCUAGGUCACUGUACCUACCUCUCUUCCCACUGGAAAAUUUUGGGAUGGACUUCUCCCGAAAAAUGAAUUUGAUUAUGUGUUGGCUGACCUAUCUCAGUAUAACAAUUGAGAAGAGAUUUUCCUCUGCUGUCUUAUCACCUGGAUGAACUAAGUCCUGACACCAACCAUAAAACUUCACCAAGACGUUGAGCUUUCAAGAUGCCUUGUUGCUUUGGAGAAGGGAGUGAUGUCAGUUCUGUUGUGAUGCUCUCCCUUUAGCAACCUGAGUAAGACACUCUCCGCCAGUGGGCUGCAAAAAAAUAAAUUACUUGAAUCCCUA